rnacentral:lncRNA from 1 species
CAAGAGAGGAAGAAAUCAUAUAUUGUAUUAAAUUGUUGGAUUACAAUAGUGGAUAUUACAUGAGGAACAUCAUCCCAAUGUGAUGCAUAAUCUAAAUAUUUUGUUGAUAUCCCUACAACUUAACCGAGGGACAUCAUCCAACAGGAGCAACAUCCCUACAACUUAACCAAAACAGAAGGCAUCCAUCAUCAUCAUCAUGAACCGGAUCAUCAUCAUCAUCAUGAACCAGAUCAUCAUCAUUGCAGUAUACUUGCCACACACCCAUAUAAUCAUCCAUAUAUAUUCUGAAUCUACAAAGAAAAUAACAAAAUGAACUAUUAACACACAAUGAUUUGACAUCAUGCAGCUAGUGACAGAGGCAGGUUAUUAGUCACGUACAAAUUGUGAAGGCCAAUCUUCAUUGUACAUAAAAAAUUACUAGUAUACAUAGCAUAUGGAAAUGCAUUCAGAAUUUACCUCAAGGUGAUCAUUGACCCUUUAGUAAUAGUUUUGUUACCUUUUCUUUGAGGGGUUCAGGUUACAUACUUAAACUAUAUGAGCCUAAUAUGAGCGUCUUAGUGUAUGGUAGAAAGUAAGUGUUACCAUUUGCUUUGAUUGCUUCCAAUGUUGAACAUAUCAAAUGGGAGAAAGAUACACAUUUUGUACAGCUUGCGGUGCGAAAUCUGUUGGAGCAGCACGAACCUGCACCAAUUGUUGGCGUCCCUUCUCCACCUCCUCAUGAGAUCCUGGUCCAAGCAUGAGUAAAAUAUAUCAGAGUACAAAUAGACUUUUAGUUUGUGAUUGUAAACAUAAUUUAAAUAUUAGUUACACACCAGUUGUGGUAAAGGGCCUAAUUAAUUUAUUCAACACAUCAUGCUAGUUAACAUGGUAAUUCGUCUUUGGGUAAAAAUAAAUGAGUCAGGACAAAAUCACUGCCUAUGCAGUAUAUAUAGACAGCCAGAAAGACCUAAAUAUGAAAUCGUUACAAAACGAUGGAGAGACAUGCUUACAGUUUUUCUGAAGCUACAAACUUUUCACACAGCAAGGUAUAUAUGCAGUGACCAUGACUAGUCACAACAAUUCUUUAAUUGGGGUGUGUACAAUUUGCAAAAGACAUGCAGCUAACGUAAUUCAAAAAGCAUUGUGCACGCACCUUUUAUUGUUUCAUAACAUGAAAAGGGUGGGAAAACGCCAAUUUUGGAACAAAAUUAAGGACUGCUUCGGAACCACACACCAUUAGUCAGGAUUACAAUCUCGUAUAUUCUGGAAAGUAGCUUAAUUAGCUUAUUAUGCUUUCAGUAAGUGGCUGCUCUGAAAUCCAAAUAAUGAAACCGCAGAGGAACGAUAUACAUGCUGUUAGAAACAAAUGUUCAGAAUAUUGCUCCCAUAAUAAUGAUUGUAGGAACAUUCUAUGUGAAUGUUCCAUUUUAUAUUGAAACCUCAUCAAUCAGUCUGAUGUAAACAUGAAACUGUACAUAUCAAGUACUCAUUGCUAUUAGCAUAACUUGCACAUUGUCAGUAGGAUUGUAGUCUGACUACCAAAUAAACCAAGUAAAAGUUAUGCACAGCGUUACACAUUGUUUCAAGAAAGUUGGGAAGCUGAUGUGCUAAACAUCACAUUAUGGAACAUUAUGUAAUGUCUCAGCAUCAUAGCUUAUAUCAAUGCUGAAACUCAGAUAUAUAAAAUAUAACAGGAAGUUAACUAGAGUUCUGGUGGGUAUACGUACGAAAUGACAUAAAGUUCUCAAAUCCUGUAUGUGCAAAAAUCAACUAAUUAAUUACUUCGACUAGCAUGGACUGAGAUGGAAAAUCAGCUGUAAAUUGAGCUAUUAAUCACCUCCCUAUCAGGCCACCGUACAACGGCAUGGUAGCCUUGUUGCUCCCUAUCUACUUUAAACUGUCGUCGCUGGACUUCCUAUUUCGCUGCAACAACCAUCAUGGUGUUAAAGCUUUCAUUAGCCUUAUUGGAAGAAGAGAAGAUUGAAAAGUUGGAGUCUUCUAAUAUUUGUUUCUAAUAGCAAAAUCACAGCAGGCACUUAAGCCCAAACAGUGGCAAAUCCUAACACCACCAGAACAACAAUGGUUCCUGAUGUGCCACGAACUAGAGCAGAGAGGAGUGGACCAACUCAC